UACGAAGGACCCGAGCGUUAUCCGGAUUUAUUGGGUUUAAAGGGUGCGUAAGCGUCCUGGAAAGUUACGGUUGAAAUCUCCUUGCUCAACAAGGAAACUGGCCGUAAAACUAUCAGGAUUGAGUACAUUUGAAGCGGGCGGAAUGUGUCAUGUAGCGGUGAAAUGCAUAGAUAUGACACAGAACACCAAUUGCGAAGGCAGCUCGCUAAACUGUAACUGACGCUGAGGCACGAAAGCGUGGGGAUCAAACAGG
rnacentral:rRNA from 1 species